UUGACGGGGGCCCGCACAAGCGGCGGAGCAUGUGGCUUAAUUCGAUGCAACGCGAAGAACCUUACCAGGGCUUGACAUGCAGAGAAAUCCUGUAGAGAUAUGGGGUCCUUCGGGGAUCUGCACAGGUGGUGCAUGGCUGUCGUCAGCUCGUGUCGUGAGAUGUUGGGUUAAGUCCCGCAACGAGCGCAACCCUUGUCCUAUGUUGCCAGCGCGUAAUGUCGGGGACUCAUAGGAGACUGCCGG
rnacentral:rRNA from 1 species